rnacentral:misc_RNA from 1 species
GUUUCACGACGAGGAGUGAUGAGGAUGAAUGUUUGGUUCUGGCAAGCGAUGGACUUUGGGACGUAAUGACGAAUGAAGAGGUUGGGCAGGUGGCUUGUCAUCUUCUUCGGCGGCUCCGCAGGUCGUUGUCGACAACUAACGACACACCUCCAGCACAGAUUGUCGCUAAUAAUCUCACUGAAAUAGCAUAUGGAAGAAAUAGUUCCGAUAACAUUUCUGUUAUUGUGAUCGAUUUGAAAGCAAGGAGAGCAAACACUCAGAGACAAUGACAAAACAUGAUGUCCGGAAGGCAAGGUUCUAAUAGCUCCACCCUGUUCUCUUCCACAACUAAUAGAUAGCAUAAUACCAUCUUUG